GACGAACGCUGGCGGCGUGCUUAACACAUGCAAGUCGAACGGUAAGGCCCUUCGGGGUACACGAGUGGCGAACGGGGGAGUAACACGUGGGUGAUCUGCCCUGCACUUCGGGAUAAGCCUGGGAAACCGGGUCUAAUACCGGAUAGGACCACUGCCUGCAUGGGUGGUGGUGGAAAGCUUUUGCGGUGUGGGAUGGGCCCGCGGCCUAUCAGCUUGUUGGUGGGGUGAUGGCCUACCAAGGCGACGACGGGUAGCCGGCCUGAGAGGGUGACCGGCCACACUGGGACUGAGAUACGGCCCAGACUCCUACGGGAGGCAGCAGUGGGGAAUAUUGCACAAUGGGCGCAAGCCUGAUGCAGCGACGCCGCGUGAGGGAUGACGGCCUUCGGGUUGUAAACCUCUUUCAGCACCGACGAAGCGCAAGUGACGGUAGGUGCAGAAGAAGGACCGGCCAACUACGUGCCAGCCGCCGCGGUAAAAC
rnacentral:rRNA from 1 species